CUAGACUAGCGGGCCUCGAUCCCACAAAAUUUUAGUUAACAACUAAACACCCAAUCCAGCGGACUUUAGUCUA
rnacentral:tRNA from 2 species